UACCUAGGUCCCGAGCGUUGUCCGGAUUUAUUGGGCGUAAAGCGAGCGCAGGUGGUUUAUUAAGUCUGGUGUAAAAGGCAGUGGCUCAACCAUUGUAUGCAUUGGACACUGGUAGACUUGAGUGCAGGAGAGGAGAGUGGAAUUCCAUGUGUAGCGGUGAAAUGCGUAGAUAUAUGGAGGAACACCGGUGGCGAAAGCGGCUCUCUGGCCUGUAACUGACACUGAGGCUCGAAAGCGUGGGGAGCAAACAGG
rnacentral:rRNA from 1 species